GACGAACGCUGGCGGCGUGCUUAACACAUGCAAGUCGAACGGAAAGGCCCUGCUUUUGUGGGGUGCUCGAGUGGCGUACGGGUGAGUAACACGUGAGUAACCUGCCCUUGACUUUGGGAUAACUUCAGGAAACUGGGGCUAAUACCGGAUAGGAGCUCCUGCUGCAUGGUGGGGGUUGGAAAGUUUCGGCGGUUGGGGAUGGACUCGCGGCUUAUCAGCUUGUUGGUGGGGUAGUGGCUUACCAAGGCUUUGACGGGUAGCCGGCCUGAGAGGGUGACCGGCCACAUUGGGACUGCGAUACGGCCCAGACUCCUACGGGAGGCAGCAGUGGGGAAUAUUGCACAAUGGGCGGAAGCCUGAUGCAGCAACGCCGCGUGCGGGAUGACGGCCUUCGGGUUGUAAACCGCUUUCGCCUGUGACGAAGCGUGAGUGACGGUAAUGGGUAAAGAAGCACCGGCUAACUACGUG
rnacentral:rRNA from 1 species